GCGUAACCGAAGGAGCUCCCUUCGUCCAAAACGAGGAGGACAAGAUUUAAGGAAAUAAAAAUCUAAUUGUUCAUGGAUUCCCUCAUUAAGUGCUUGAAUAAUGAGCACUUUUACUGGGGUUUGCAUGGCCUCUUAGAUCUUCUCUCUUUCUCUACGUAUAUAUAUAUAUAUCCUUCUCUUCUCUUCGUUUGGAUUGAAGGGAGCUCCUGUUCCUUUUCUC
rnacentral:pre_miRNA from 2 species